rnacentral:rRNA from 1 species
AACUGAGGGCUGCCUGGUAUGCCUAACACAUGCAAGUCGUACGAGAGUUUUUAACUCAAGUGGCGGACGGGUGAGUAACACGUGAGACUUUGCCUUUAGGAGGGGGACAACGGCUGGAAACGGUUGCUAAUACCCCAUAUGCUUUCGAGUGAAAUGAAUUUAUUCGCCUAAAGAGAAGCUCGCGGCUGAUUAGCUUGUUGGUGGGGUAAGAGCCUACCAAGGCGACGAUCAGUAUCUGGUUUGAGAGGACGAUCAGACACACUGGAACUGAGACACGGUCCAGACUCCUACGGGAGGCAGCAGUGGGGAAUUUUCCGCAAUGGGCGAAAGCCUGACGGAGCAAUACCGCGUGAGGGAAGACUGCCUAUGGGUUGUAAACCUCUUUUUUCAGGGAGGAAUUUUGACGUGUACCUGAAGAAUAAGCAUCGGCUAACUCCGUGCCAGCAGCCGCGGUAAGACGGAGGAUGCAAGUGUUAUCCGGAAUCACUGGGCGUAAAGCGUCUGUAGGUGGUUAAGCAAGUCAACUGUUAAAUCUUGAGGCUCAACUUCAAAAUCGCAGUCGAAACUGUUUGACUAGAGUAUAGUAGGGGUAAAGGGAAUUUCCAGUGGAGCGGUGAAAUGCGUAGAUAUUGGAAAGAACACCGAUGGCGAAGGCACUUUACUGGGCUAUUACUGACACUCAGAGACGAAAGCUAGGGUAGCAAAUGGGAUUAGAUACCCCAGUAGUCCUAGCCGUA